rnacentral:rRNA from 1 species
CGUGACCAACCUGCCUCAUGCAUCGGGAUAACUGCUGGAAACGGCAGCUAAUACCGGAUACUCUUGCAACUUCGCAUGGAGAUGCAAGGAAAGCUUUCGCGGCAUGAGAUGGGGUCGCGGCCCAUUAGGUAGACGGUGAGGUAGUGGCUCACCGUGCCUGCGAUGGGUAGCCGGACUGAGAGGUCGAUCGGCCACAUUGGGACUGAGAUACGGCCCAGACUCCUACGGGAGGCAGCAG